CGCUAGCGGCAGGCCUAAUACAUGCAAGUCAGGGGUAACAGGUGUAGCAAUACAUGCUGACGACCGGCGCACGGUGCGUAACACGUAUACAAUCUGCCCAUCACUGGAGAAUAGCCCGGAGAAAUCCGGAUUAAUACUCCAUAAUAGUAGAAGAGGCAUCUCUUUUAUUUGAAAGCUACGGCGGUGAUGGAUGAGUAUGCGCCUGAUUAGUUUGUUGGUGAGGUAACGGCUCACCAAGACUACGAUCAGUAGGGGAUCUGAGAGGAUUAACCCCCACACGGAUACUGAGACACGGAUCCGACUCCUACGGGAGGCAGCAGUAAGGAAUAUUGGACAAUGGCCGCAAGGCUGAUCCAGCCAUGCCGCGUGCAGGAAGAAGGCGCUAUGCGUCGUAAACUGCUUUUACACCGGAGAAAACCCCCCUACGUGUAGGGGGCUGAUAGUAUGGUGAGAAUAAGCAUCGGCUAACUUCGUG
rnacentral:rRNA from 1 species